CUAAACACCAACACAAUGGGUUUGAAAUGAAACAAACAAGAUGUGCUUUAACUGCAGACUUUCAGCUUUAAUUUGAGGGUAUUUACAUCCAAAUCAGGUGAACGGUGUAGGAAAUACAACAGUUUGUAUAUGUGCCUCCCACUUUUUAAGGGACCAAAAGCAAUGGGACAAUUGGCUUCUCAGCUGUUCCAUGGCCAGGUGUGUGUUAUUC